AAAGCACGCCAGGUCUCCUGCACUGGACAUUUUUGCGCGGGAAAUGAAAGGCGGUCGGUGGUCCGUUGGCUUGGCGUUGAAUACAUGAAAAAUUUUUCAGAUGGGGUUCUUUCCGUUUCCUGCUGGGAAAACCGUUAGAUGCCAUCGUGGAUUGAUGAAUACCGUUGUACUUGAAUAAACAGGAACUCUUAACAGAAGCUUCUUUGUCAGCAGCAUCAGUUUGGGUGCCCGGUGAAGUAGCUUCAAAGAUUGCCCGUUUUUUUAAAAGUUGGCUCUCUUUUGAAGUGCUUUUCCAGGUGAAGCCCAAUUUUUAAUAUCGCCGUUUGCCUGUUGCA